UUUCACACUGUCAAGAAAAGCUUCUAUCGAGUUUAAAGGCGCCCGUACCGUAAACCGACACAGGUGGGUGAGGAGAGUAUCCUAGGGCCAGCGAGAGAACUAUUGUUAAGGAACUCGGCAAAAUGACCCCGUAACUUAGGGAGAAGGGGUGCCUGUCUAUGACAGGCCGCAGAGAAUAGGCCCAAGCGACUGUUUACCAAAAACACAGGUUUCUGCUAAGUCGCAAGACGAUGUAUAGGAGCUGACGCCUGCCCGGUGCUGGAAGGUUAAGGGGAUCUGUUAGAGCAAUCGAAGCAGUGAACUUAAGCCCCAGUAAACGGCGGCCGUAACGAUAACGGUCCUAAGGUAGCGAAAUUCCUUGUCGGGUAAGUUCCGACCCGCACGAAAGGCGUAACGAUUUGGGCACUGUCUCAACAAUAGACUCGGUGAAAUUGUAAUCCCGGUGAAGAUGCCGGGUACCUGCGACAGGACGGAAAGACCCCAUGGAGCUUUACUGUAGCUUGACGUUGGGUCUUGGUACUACAUGUACAGGAUAGGUGGGAGACUAUGAAGCAUGGACGCCAGUCUGUGUGGAGUCAUCCUUGGGAUACCACCCUUGUAGUACUGGGAUCCUAACCAUAGGCCUUGAAUCAGGUCUUGGAACACCGUCAGGUGGGCAGUUUGACUGGGGCGGUCGCCUCCUAAAAAGUAACGGAGGCGCUCAAAGGUUUCCUCAGCACGGUCGGAAAUCGUGCGAAGAGUGUAAAGGCAAAAGGAAGCUUGAUUGCAAGACAUACAGGUCGAGCAAGGACGAAAGUCGGACUUAGUGAUCCGGUGGUACCGCAUGGAAGGGCCAUCGCUCAACGGAUAAAAGCUACCCUGGGGAUAACAGGCUUAUCUCCCCCAAGAGUCCACAUCGACGGGGAGGUUUGGCACCUCGAUGUCGGCUCAUCACAUCCUGGGGCUGUAGUAGGUCCCAAGGGUUGGGCUGUUCGCCCAUUAAAGUGGUACGCGAGCUGGGUUCAGAACGUCGUGAGACAGUUCGGUCCCUAUCCGUCGCAGGCGUAGGAAAUUUGAGAAGACCUGUCCUUAGUACGAGAGGACCGGGAUGGACGUACCUCUGGUGUACCAGUUGUUCUGCCAAGGGCAUGGCUGGGUAGCUAUGUACGGAAUGGAUAAGCGCUGAAAGCAUCUAAGCGCGAAGCCAACUUCAAGAUAAGAUUUCCCACCGUAAGGGUAAGACCCCAGGAAGACUACCUGGUUGAUAGGUCGAAGGUGUAAGUGCAGUAAUGUAUUUAGCUUAUCGAUACUAAUAGGUCGAGGACUUGAUC
rnacentral:rRNA from 1 species